rnacentral:misc_RNA from 1 species
GUAGGUGAACCUGCGGAAGGAUCAUUAUCGAAGCAAUGCGGCCUUCGAGGCAGCAACGCUGAAAACGGUUGGGACAAUCCGGCUACCGCCAACGCCCGGGCGACCGCGGGGGAUGAAACCUCUGUGCGCGCGCCCGUGCGGGCUCGAUGGCUAGCAGGGUUGGGAGACACGGGGCCGUGCCCGGUCGACCGGCUGCAGGAAGCCGCCCAUCGCAGCUGACAUCUCUGGUAUCGGCGUUCGGGUGCCUAUC